rnacentral:rRNA from 1 species
UACGUAGGUGACCAGCGUUGUCCGGAUUUACUGGGCGUAAAGAGCGCGCAGGCGGUCGUUCAAGUCGAGUGUGAAAGCCCCCGGCUCAACUGGGGAGGGUCACUCGAUACUGAUCGACUUGAAGGCAGGAGAGGGAAGCGGAAUUCCCGGUGUAGUGGUGAAAUGCGCAGAUAUCAGGAAGAACACCCGUGGCGAAAGCGGCUCUCUGGAACGGUACUGACGCUGAGACGCGAAAGCGUGGGUAGCAAACAGG